rnacentral:rRNA from 1 species
AAACAUCGCCUCCUGCAAAAAUCAAUGUAUAAGAGGUCCUACCUGCCCAGUGACAUUAAGUUAAACGGCCGCGGUAUUUUGACCGUGCUAAGGUAGCGCAAUCACUUGUCUUUUAAAUGAAGACCUGUAUGAAUGGUGGAACGAGGGCUUAACUGUCUCCCUUUUCAGGUCAGUGAAAUUGAUCUGCCCGUGCAGAAGCGGACAUAAUACUACAAGACGAGAAGACCCUUUGGAGCUUAAGACACAAGGUCAACUAUGUCAAAAAUCCCUAUUAAUGGGAAUAAAACAAAAUAUUAACUGACCAAAGUCUUCGGUUGGGGCGACCGCGGGGGAAAACAAAGCCCCCAUGUGGAGUGGGGUAAAACCUAAAACCACGAGGGACACCUCUAAGUCACAGAACAUCUGACCAAAAGAUCCGGCACCUAAGCCGAUCAACGAACCAAGUUACCCUAGGGAUAACAGCGCAAUCCCCUCCAAGAGUCCAUAUCGACAAGGGGGUUUACGACCUCGAUGUUGGAUCAGGACAUCCUAAUGGUGCAGCCGCUAUUAAGGGUUCGUUUGUUCAACGAUUAAAGUCCUACGUG